ACUCUUCUGUGUUGCUGCAUGAUGCCUCUAGUAUGAGGCGGAGACCUCCAUGUCUCGUCUCUUUCCCGCUGCCCUCCCUCACCAGCCCUCUUCCACCCAGGGGGACAGCCCAGCAGCAACUCAGUCCGUGCUUGAUAAUCACCCACCUCCAUACCCCACAUCCAGCAAAGCUCCCUGAGUAACUCACAGCCACCAACCACCAGGGUACUGAGCUUUCCUCUGUGUACUUCCAGUAUCUUCAGAUGACCAGGCCAGCAUGGUCGGACUCAGACCCUGGACAGAGGAAGAAGAUCUGGAGGAGGAAAACCUCUAUAGCACAAUCCAGCAAAGGAUGAAAAACUGGCUUCUGUGGAGCAUCUUCAAAGUCAUCAAAGACAUACCCCUAGGCCAGUAGGUUUGUGUACGCCCAUCUGACCCCAGCCAUGUAGUGCCGGUGUUUUAUCUGAAGUGUGACUCUGACUUUUCUUGAAAACAACUGUUGGCUUUCAUCCAUGGCUGGGGCAUCAUCCACAGCUGAAUCAUCAUCCAUGGCUGGGGCAUCAGGGACAUCAUUCACAGAUAGGCAUCAUCCACUGCUGGGGCAUCAUCCACUGCUGGGGCAUCAUCCACACCUGGGGCAUCAUCCACUGCUGGGGCAUCAUCCACUGGUAGGACAUCAUCCACGCCUGGGGCAUCAUUCACUGAUGGGGUAUCAUCCAUGCCUGGGGCAUCAUCCACUGCUGGGGCAUCAUCCAUGCCUCUGGUAGCUCUGCAGGAAGGUUGCCAACUCACCAUUGCUUUCUCCAGGUUCCAGAGGCUUCCAUUUAAAGGAGCGACUCUCCCAACUCUACUGGA